UACGUAGGGUGCAAGCGUUGUCCGGAAUUAUUGGGCGUAAAGAGCGUGUAGGCGGCCCGACCAGUCCGCUGUGAAAGUCCAGGGCUCAACCCUGGAAUGCCGGUGGAUACUGUCGGGCUAGAGUCCGGAAUGGGCGAGUGGAAUUCCUGGUGUAGCGGUGGAAUGCGUAGAGAUUCGGAAGAACACCCAUGGCGAAGGCAGCACUCUGGGCUUGACCUGACGCUGAGGAACGAAAGCCAGGGGAGCAAACGGG
rnacentral:rRNA from 1 species